GAGCGGUAAGGCCACUUCGGUGGUACACGAGCGGCGGACGGCUGAGUAACGCGUAGGAACAUACCCCAAAGUGAGGGAUAACUGCUCGAAAGAGUAGCUAAUACCGCAUGUGGUCCAAGGACUAAAGCUUCGGCGCUUUGGGAAUGGCCUGCGUAUGAUUAGCUUGUUGGUGAGGUAAUGGCUCACCAAGGCGACGAUCAUUAGCUGGUCUGAGAGGAUGAUCAGCCAGACUGGGACUGAGACACGGCCCAGACUCCUACGGGAGGCAGCAGUAGGGAAUUUUCCACAAUGGGGGCAACCCUGAUGGAGCAACGCCGCGUGCAGGAUGAAUGCCUUCGGGUUGUAAACUGCUUUUAUAUGUGAAGAUUAUGACGGUAGCAUAUGAAUAAGGAUCGGCUAACUCCGUG
rnacentral:rRNA from 1 species